GUUUUUGUAAGUGAACAACAUAUAAUCAAAUCAGAAUCUCUUAAGAAUUUAUACAAAAUGCAUUUUUAGUACAACUCCUUACCGAAGUGGCUAUUACAUUCCAGAAAAGUUGCUUUACAAUCGCGCCAGCACUGCCCCUCUACGCAGAAACGUUUGCAAACCGACAGCUUACUGCGAAUGCCUUGGUCUACUUUCUCCCAGCUGUUCUGCACAUCUGGCCACAGCUGGUUUAUUUCAGAAUGGACCUGUGUAGGGGAGGAUCUGCAGCCUCCUCUCUCUCUUCUAUUGGCUCAUCCUUAUGGGACUCUCUGGGCUUGCUGGCAUUUCAUUGGCCUGGCUUGCCCCCUUCCCCGUGAGCUAAUUGGAGGAGCGGGAUGGAGGGGACGGAAUCCCCUUUGGUUUAUUGGGAAGGGGGAGCGGAGUUAUGCCCGGUCACCUGCGGCUCGGGCAGCUGUGGUGCCUCCGGCGCCUCACCCCCACCUCUCGCUGCUGCUGGGGGGAGCCGGAGCUCGAGCUGGAGCUGCCGGGCCCGCCGCUGUCAGGGGAAAUGGCCAAAGACAAGCGACACACACAAAGAACAUGGCGAGGGAAGGAGGAGUCUGAGCCGACGGCAGCUGCGCUCCCCCGCCCGAAGGACGCUCCGGGGAGGGAGGACAAUGCCCAGCCCACUCUGGCCCAGCUGCCGCCCGGCUCCCGGGGGAGGGGGCUGUUUUCCCAGGGCUGGGCGCCCCUGGUGUUUCCGCCUGCCCCACGCUGUAACAAACUACGCGCAAGUGCUACUGAACAGGACGCAGCUGGAGUGAGAUCUGCAGCGACUGUUCCUCCAGAAGUACUGAAGAUAGGAUCCAACUGCCGAGUGUGCAACUUCAGGAAUAAUCUUUUUCCCCACUCCAAACUACUAGCCACAGCAACUUGCUAUUUCACAUUACCAUAUGAAAAUCGCAUCCACUUCAUUGUGGAUACUUCUGUCACAGAUCAUAGAUGCAGAGAAUCUUCUCCUAAUGGCCAAGCAGUGUGGUGUUCCCUGGUUGAGUGUGCAUCUUACAUAAAUUAUAAAGGAAGCUGAAAUAGGAAGAAUUGGGCCCAACAAAAACUGAAGACAGGUGGAGACUGCUGUGGCCAGUUCCUUUCACUGGCAGCAGAGCUCUCAGAGGAGGACAAAGCCUUUUUUGGCAGCAGAAGUACUUGGUGAAAGUUAUGAAAACAUCAGGCUCCUGACUACCUAAUCAAACAUGUAAGUAUGUGCUAUCUAUGAACUGGCACUGCACUUCAACCUGACCUGAAUUCUGACUAUUCUUAGCUGUCUCUGUCUCCCUCGUCUUACUGCGUAUACUCAGUCUGCAGGUGGGAGUGGGGGUGGCUGGGUGACUGUUCUUGUGGGCAUACUUUGAAAUGCUAAAAUGGAACUUUGACGUUAAAAGUUGUGUACAGUACCUACAGCCUUAGUUCAGUACUGCUUCCUCUCUCUCGGUUUAUUAUUCUAAUCCUAGAUAUUGUAUUUUCAUUAUUGUUAGCUUACUCCUAAAAGGUUCCCUCAUGUAGAAUUACUGGAUGUAGUUACUUACAAAUACCAAUACAAAGCUUAUAAAAUGAAAGUGAUGUUUAUUUUAUUUGCCUUGGGCAGUUUCUUGGCCUACUUGCUCAACCUGUGAGUGGAUCUUUCCCACCAGCUUUUUCCAGACUCUGCUCACUCUCCAUGUAAUUGUCCCUUUUUACCUUUACUGUUUUUCAGUUGACUAGAAUAUCUGAAAACACCUGUUGCUAAUCUAAAGCAAUAACUGGUGUUUCUGGUCAGUAGCGUAGCUAGGCGAGAAGCAGGGGGAGCAGUCACUCCCCAUGAGGACAUUCUCCAAAAGUGGCACCUUAGGUGCCGACUCCCUGGGUGCUCUGGGGCUGGAUCACCCACAGGGAAAAUUUUGUGAGUGCUCAGCUCUCCACCCUGUCCUGCCCCGGCCCCAGCUCACCUUCCCUCCACCGCCCUCCCCCGACUUCCCACGAAUCAGCUGUUCGUGUGGGAAGCCUGGGAGGGCGGAGAAGCGGUGCAGAGGCUUCGUGGUCAGGCCCAGGGAGAAGGCACACUAGGGUGGGGA
ensembl:lncRNA